rnacentral:tRNA from 5 species
GUGCCCGUAGCUCAGUCGGUAGAGCACGAGACUUUUAAUCUUGGGGUCCAGGGUUCGAGUCCCUGCGGGCACACCA